AACGAACGCUGGCGGCAUGCUUAACACAUGCAAGUCGAACGGUCUUAUGGGGCUUGCUCCAUAAGAUAGUGGCAGACGGGUGAGUAACACGUGGGAACGUACCCUAAGGUUCGGAAUAACAGUUGGAAACGACUGAUAAUACCGGAUAUCUCCGAGAGGAGAAAGGUUUACCGCCUUGGGAGCGGCCCGCGUCUGAUUAGGUAGUUGGUGAGGUAAAGGCUCACCAAGCCGAUGAUCAGUAGCUGGUUUGAGAGAGUGAUCAGCCACACUGGGACUGGGACACGGCCCAGACUCCUACGGGAGGCAGCAGUGGGGAAUAUUGGACAAUGGGGGAAACCCUGAUCCAGCAAUGCCGCGUGAGUGAAGAAGGCCUUCGGGUUGUAAAGCUCUUUUGUCCGUGACGAUAAUGACGGUAGCGGACGAAUAAGCACCGGCUAACUUCGUGCCAGCCGCCGCAGUAA
rnacentral:rRNA from 1 species